rnacentral:rRNA from 1 species
CCUACGGGAGGCAGCAGUGGGGAAUAUUGCGCAAUGGGCGAAAGCCUGACGCAGCGACGCCGCGUGAGGGAUGAAGGUCUUCGGAUCGUAAACCUCUGUCAGCAGGGAAGAACGGUCACUGUGCUAAUCAGCAGUGAAUUGACGGUACCUGCAAAGGAAGCACCGGCUAACGCCGUGCCAGCAGCCGCGGUAAUACGGAGGGUGCGAGCGUUAAUCGGAAUUACUGGGCGUAAAGCGCUCGUAGGCGGUAUGUCAAGUCAAGGGUGAAAUCCCCGCGCUCAACGUGGGAACUGCCUUUGAAACUGGCAAACUGGAGUGUGUGAGAGGAUAGUGGAAUUCAAGGUGUAGGAGUGAAAUGCGUAGAUAUCUGGAGGAACAUCAGUGGCGAAGGCGACUAUCUGGCACAUAACUGACGCUGAGGAGCGAAAGCGUGGGUAGCAAACAGGAUUAGAUACCCCGGUAGUC